UGGGGAAUAUUGCACAAUGGGCGCAAGCCUGAUGCAGCCAUGCCGCGUGUAUGAAGAAGGCCUUCGGGUUGUAAAGUACUUUCAGUAGGGAGGAAGGUGGUAAGGUUAAUAACCUUAUCAAUUGACGUUACCGACAGAAGAAGCACCGGCUAACUCCGUGCCAGCAGCCGCGGUAAUACGGAGGGUGCAAGCGUUAAUCGGAAUUACUGGGCGUAAAGCGCACGCAGGCGGUUUGUUAAGUCAGAUGUGAAAUCCCCGGGCUCAACCUGGGAACUGCAUCUGAUACUGGCAAGCUUGAGUCUCGUAGAGGGGGGUAGAAUUCCAGGUGUAGCGGUGAAAUGCGUAGAGAUCUGGAGGAAUACCGGUGGCGAAGGCGGCCCCCUGGACGAAGACUGACGCUCAGGUGCGAAAGCGUGGGGAGCAAACAGG
rnacentral:rRNA from 1 species